ensembl:lncRNA CRNDE colorectal neoplasia differentially expressed
GCCCGCCGGGGGCUCGCGCCAGCCACGAGGGAGCGUCCGCGGCCCGCGCGCCCGCGCGGCGGAGGAGAGGUGUUAAGUGUGAUGCUUCCAUAAUACAUUUGGAUGCUGUCAGCUAAGUUCACUUCUGAACUAAGGGGUUCCUCCAAAUGUUGGCUGAAAUUCAUCCCAAGGCUGGUCUGCAAGUGAGUGUCUGCACACAGUUUGCUUGUAUGUGGAGUCGAUCCAAAAUAGCAUCAAUGUUGGUUUUACCAAAGUAUUUAUUAUUGAUAAUAGAGGCUAAGUACAAAAUGUAGAGAAUGUCAGCUACUUGAGGCCUUUGAUUAUUAAAAAUUUUAUUAAUGCAUUAAACAAGAGUACAGUAAAUAGAUAAAUUUUAGGUUCAUGAAAUAAAACUGAAUAAUUUAUUUUUACUUACUAUUUAUCAUGGAAUUACUUUGAAUAAUUUAUUUUUAAUGGUAUAAUUGGACAGUAAAAUUUAUAAACUCAGUGCUUUUCAUAAAAAUCAAAGUGAAGUUUGUAAUAUUUUAUACAAAUAGAAUUAUUAUUUAAGAGAAAUAACCUGUUUAUGCCUAAUUACAGUUUUUAAUCAUUUCAGUUACCUAUUUCUUUUAAGAAUAAAUUUAGUGGGAAUAUCAGUUCCAGUCAUGGGUACCAAACUUUUUUAGUGACAGAGUACACACAGGUAUGUAAAACUUGUCAUUUCUCAUCAAAUAGAGGCUGCUGAAUAUAGGCAGGUAAGAAAAGCUAUGAGAAAGAAUUGUUUUGCAGAAUAUUUGUCUAGUUGUCAGAGCAAGGAACUGAAUUUAUUGACACAGAACAUUUUAUUAAGUAAAAAAAAUGGUUCUUAUAACAAAAAAAAAAGCUAAUUUUACAGAAGGCAGUAGUUAAUAUAGCCGCCAAUAAAAUAAAUGUUUCUCUGAAUACUUUCCGAGGCAUUACAGUGAUUUUUAACUAAUAUGAAGUGAUAUAUAAUAAUUUUAAAGUAACAUCCUUGAGUUUUCCUAUUAUUAAUUGCUUAUGGAAAUUGGGUUUCACGUAUGACUGAGAGCUAAAGCAUUACAGUGAGUUAGAAAACACAACACAAAUGUAAAGAAAAUGUUAGGUGGUGAGUAAUCUGAUUCCUUUUUGUUUGCCUUUAAGCUUAGUUUUUUGUUUUGUUUUACUUUGUUUUAAACCAUGUAUAAAAUUGUUGAAUUUAAAAGAUAAGAGGAUUAAGUAAUUUCUUUUUUCCUCCUAAGGAUAAAUGUAGGAAAAAUCUAAACACAUAGGCAGAUUGGUUGAGUUUUAUAUCUGUUAUCGGCCACAUUUAUUAAGAUUCAUAUUUCAUGUAUAUUAGAGGUAUUCACAUGUAUUAAAAUUCUUAUAUUCCUUCUAUAUAAAAUAGAUGUAGGGGGUUCCCACUCUUGAAAAUAUGAAGAAAAGAUGUCCUUUCAGCAAUAAUGGGUUAUGGUUGAUUAACUGAGAAGGUUGUAUUAAACGUUCUCUAGUAGAAAUGGCUAAAGAGCAUGCUUUUUGAGAAGUGUAUCAUCUAGGAAGAAAAUCAAAUGGAGUAUUGGUAAUUAAAUUGUAAUUCCAUGAAGGAAGGAAGUGGUGCAAAAGAUGAAGCUAACUAUUCCUGUUUUUCUUUUUAAGAGUCUGCAAUUCAUAAUGGAGCUACUGUACUGGCUAUUGGAAGGAGGAGAUUCUGAAGAUAAGGAGGUAAAACCUGUUUAGAAAUUAAAAAUGAGUUACGAUUUAAAGAAAAUUCAGAUGACUCAUUGUGAGUGCUAGUUCUCUUGUAGGAUGCCACUGGAAAUGUUGAAAUGAAAAAUAUUCAGCCGUUGGUCUUUGAAAUUUCCUGUGAUGUGUUUCAAUCUAGAUGCAAAGAACAUGGAAAAAUCAAAGUGCUCGAGUGGUUUAAAUAUGUUUUGGGUAUUCCUGUUUAUAGACUAUAAUACUUUUCCAAUUAAAAUCCUCAGUUGUCACGCAGAAGAAGGUUAAGCUGUAUUUGAUUGCCAGUUUUACUGAAAAUGCUUAGUAUUUUACAGUAUCACCAAAUAUAUUUUGUUUAGCCAAGGUAUAGGAAAAAUAAAAUAAAUUGUAUAGGUUGACUUUUUUCUAAAAUGUCUUUAUUGGAUUGAAUGAAUGUUUAUACCUGAAAAAAAAAGGUUCAAAAAAA